rnacentral:rRNA from 1 species
UGGGGAAUAUUGCACAAUGGGCGCAAGCCUGAUGCAGCCAUGCCGCGUGUAUGAAGAAGGCCUUCGGGUUGUAAAGUACUUUCAGCGGGGAGGAAGGGAGUAAAGUUAAUACCUUUGCUCAUUGACGUUACCCGCAGAAGAAGCACCGGCUAACUCCGUGCCAGCAGCCGCGGUAGUACGGAGGGUGCAAGCGUUAAUCGGAAUUACUGGGCGUAAAGCGCACGCAGGCGGUCUGUCAAGUCGGAUGUGAAAUCCCCGGGCUCAACCUGGGAACUGCAUUCGAAACUGGCAGGCUAGAGUCUUGUAGAGGGGGGUAGAAUUCCAGGUGUAGCGGUGAAAUGCGUAGAGAUCUGGAGGAAUACCGGUGGCGAAGGCGGCCCCCUGGACAAAGACUGACGCUCAGGUGCGAAAGCGUGGGGAGCAAACAGG